GCCAAAAACCUAGCCCUAAUAACCCAAAUGUUACAACCAACCAAAAAAGACAUAAUAAAACAUUUUCUUAACUAAGUAAAGGCGAUUAAAAAGUUAAUAGGAGCAUUAAUGCAAGUACCGCAAGGGAAAGAUGAAAUAAAAAUGAAAUAAUUUUUAAGCCCAAUAAAGUAGAGAUAUUCCCUCGUACCUUUUGCAUCAUGAUCUAACUAGCACACCCAAGCAAAACGAACUUUAAGUUUGACCCCCCGAAACUAGAUGAGCUACUUCAAAACAGCCUUCAUGGGCCAACCCGUCUCUGUCGCAAAAGAGUGGGAAGAUUUUCAAGUAGAAGUGAUAGACCUAUCGAAUCUAGAGAUAGCUGGUUAUUCAGGAAAAGGAUAUUAGUCCAACUUUAAAUCUUCACAUACUGCCAAAUAUAUCAACAGAUUUAAAAUCCAUUCAAAUAAGGUUCAGCCUAUUUGAAGCAGGGUACAACCUACACCAUUGGGUAAUGUCUCAACUAACAUGAUCAAGUCGGCCUAAGAGCAGCCACCUUUAAAAAAGCGUCAUAGCUUUAUCAUACCUGUCACCAAUACCUCACAAAACUCAAAACCCCUCACUCAUACUGAAUGACUUCAUACAUAUAUGAAAAACCUUAUGUUAGAACUAGUAACAAGAAUAAUUAUUCUCCUAAACGUAAGUGUAAGCCGGACUGAACCACUCACCGGCAUUUACCGCCAAUGAACUAAAAGUAACAACCAACACAAGAAAACCCUACUUUUAAAAGCGUUAACCUUACACUAGAAUUUUUCUGGAAAGAUUAAAAAGAGAGGAAGGAACUCGGCAAAUAUUAACCCCGCCUGUUUACCAAAAACAUCGCCUUCUGACAACCAAUAGAAGGUCCCGCCUGCCCAGUGAAAAUUAAACGGCCGCGGUACUUUAACCGUGCAAAGGUAGCACAAUCACUUGUCCUUUAAAUAGGGACUAGUAUGAAUGGCACCACGAGGGUUAUACUGUCUCCCCACCUUAAUCAGUGAAACUAAUCUCCCCGUGAAGAAGCGGGGAUAAACCUAUAAGACGAGAAGACCCCAUGGAGCUUCAAACUAGGUAUCACUUGAAUUAAUUAAUAUCACUUAAAUUUAUCAAAUCUGCUUACUAGUUUUUGGUUGGGGUGACCGCGGAGUAAAACAAAACCUCCACGACGAAAGGGAUUAAUCCCCUAAUUUAAGAGCUACAACUCAUAGAAUCAAUAAAUUGACCCAAAUUGAUCCAAUAUAUUGAACAACGAACCAAGUUACCCUGGGGAUAACAGCGCAAUCCAUUUUAAGAGCUCCUAUCGACAAAUGGGUUUACGACCUCGAUGUUGGAUCAGGGUAUCCCAGUGGUGCAACCGCUACUAAAGGUUCGUUGUCAACGAUAA
rnacentral:rRNA from 1 species